rnacentral:rRNA from 1 species
UAGGGAAUCUUCCACAAUGGGCGCAAGCCUGAUGGAGCAACACCGCGUGAGUGAAGAAGGGUUUCGGCUCGUAAAGCUCUGUUAGUUAAAAAAGAACACGUAUGAGAGUAACUGUUCAUACGUUGACGGUAUUUAACCAGAAAGUCACGGCUAACUACGUGCCAC